AUGGCUGCCUACAAGCUGGUCCUGAUCUGGCAUGGCGAGAGCUCCUGGAACCUGGAGAAUAGCUUCAGUGGCUGGUAUGAUGCUGACCUGAGCCCUGCGGGCCAGGAGGAAGUGAAGCUCGGCAGGCAGGUGUUGUAAGAUGCUGGCUAUGAAUUUGACAUCUUCUUCACCUCUGUGCAGAAGUGAGCAAUCCUGACCCUCUGGACAGUCCUGGAUGCCAUUGACCAGAUGUGGUUGCCAGUGGUCAGGACCUGGCGCCUCAAUGAGCGACACUAUAGGGGUCUAACAGGUACCAAUAAAGCAGAAGUGAGGCACAGGUAAAGAUCUGGAGACGAUCUUAUUAUGAUGCCCUAUUGCCUCCCAUGGAGCCUGACCAUCCCUUCUAUAGCAACAUCAGCAAGGAUCGCAUGUACACAGACCUUACUGAGGACCAGCUCCCCUCCUGUGAGAACCUGAAGGACACUAUUGCCAGAGCUCUGUCCUUCUGGAAUGAAGAAAUUGUCCCCCAGAUCAAGGAAGGGAAAAGGGUCUUGAUUAAUGCCCACGGCAACAGCCUUUGAGGCAUUGUCAAGCAUCUGGAGGGUCUCUCAGAAGAGGCCAUCAUGGAGCUGAGACUACCCAAAGGCAUUCCCAUCAUCUAUGAAUCGGACAAGAACUUGAAGCCCAUCAAGCCCAUACAGUUCUUGGGAGAUGAGAUGACCAUGCAUAAAGCCAUGGAGGCUGUGGCUGUUGAAGAAAUGAAGGCGAGAAAGGGCAAGUUGAUGAAAUGA